rnacentral:lncRNA from 1 species
GGGGACACCAGCCAGUAUGCUCCAAGCUGCAGGGACAUCUGAUAACUCUCCAAGAUGCAGAGACGUCUGAUCUUUAAGAAAGUUAUGAAGCCGUGUGGCAUUUCUCAUGACAGAAACUAUUUGAUAAUCUGUGGAGAAAAUAAGUAAGCACCAUGCGAUCACUUGGAAGAAGAAAGCAUCCACUGAGGCAAGGAGGUCUUCGGUCCUUUUAUGGGAAAACUUUAUGGGAGAACUUCUAUUGUUAAAGGAAGCGUUUUGCAAGAAGCUUCCUUCUCUGUGGAACUUAGUGGUGGGAGCUGAGCAUUGUUGUUAACAACAAUUAAAAUAUUUUCUCAGC